AGUCGACUGGAAUUCUUCUUCGGAAGAUAGUACGGUGGCGGACGGGUGAGUAACGCGUAAAGAAUUUGCCCUUCAGACUGGGACAACUAAUCGAAAGGUUAGCUAAUACCGGAUAUUAUGAGACCUUGGCAUCAAGGACUUAUGAAAGCUAUAUGCGCUGAAGGAGAACUUUGCGUUCCAUUAGGUAGUUGGUAGGGUAAUGGCCUACCAAGCCGACGAUGGAUAGCCGGCCUGAGAGGGUGAACGGCCACAAGGGGACUGAGACACGGCCCUUACUCCUACGGGAGGCAGCAGUGGGGAAUAUUGGACAAUGGACCAAAAGUCUGAUCCAGCAAUUCUGUGUGCACGAUGAAGGUCUUCGGAUUGUAAAGUGCUUUCAGGUGGGAAGAAGAAAGUGACGGUACCACCAGAAGAAGCGACGGCUAAAUACGUGCCAGCAGCCGCGGUAAUACGUAUGUCGCAAGCGUUAUCCG
rnacentral:rRNA from 1 species